rnacentral:lncRNA from 10 species
AGAGCAGCAGCAAAGGGAAGCAGCGUCCUCGCCAAUACCUGGGCUGUCCUUCAAGGCUCAGUGCAAGGAAAAACACCUGGGUUGGACAUCAGAUAAGGAAAUUGAGACUCAAAGAGGACCCCCAUGGAGAAAGUAAUGAAGCUUGAAUUUAGACCCAAGAUCAUGUCCCUUUCACUUCCUCAGCCUGCCCAGGAAGUUUAUAGCGUGCUCAUGCCACAAACCCUGGAGCUGGAUACGCGCUCAAUUGGCUUGAAGACCUUGGGACUUGAAUUGAAACAUCAGCUCUUCCUGGGUCUCAAGUUUGCUGGCCUUUGGACUAGAACCAAACCAUUGACUCUCCUGGGUGUUCGGCCUGCCUAACUUACCCUGGGACUUGCCAGCCCUGUAAACAUGUAGUGCUGACUUCCAGACCACUGAGGUCACCUGCAUAAGCGAGUCUGGCAACAAAUAAUCGUCUUCCAGAAAAUGACCAGAAACUCAGCCUGCUUUUUGUCAUUUCACCAGCCCCACCAUCUUUCCUUUAUUCUAGAGCUCCUGGCACACUUACAUGAAUCUCUUGAAAGAAGAGAAAUGAGAGCAUUCAUUCCAUACUAAUACAAUUGUGCCCUAUGGAAAGGCUUUUUGCUGGCAGACAUAGUAGACGGACCAUUUCCCAACUUCUUUUUCUUUGCCACCUUCCAGCCAAAGGUGUCCAUAUGACACAGCUCUGGACAGGAUAAUUGGAAGUCUGUUGUGGGAUUUCUGAGAAAGCUUUUGAUUUUCUGACAGAGACAUUUUUGCUUCCCCUUACCACUUCCUACUGGAUUACAGAUGUGAUGGAAAGAGCUGCAGCAGCCAUAAUACAACCAUAAAGGAGAGGAGAAGAGAAUUGCAAAGGCAUCAACCCACAUUGAAUUGAACUGCUAAGUUAACACUAGCAGUUACUUGCCUCCAGAUAUCUUGGUGUGUG